rnacentral:lncRNA from 1 species
AUGUUCAUCACAGCAAUAUUUAUAACGGCAAAAACUGGAGAUCAGGCGAACGCCAGAAAGCUCAGAAAGCAGCGAUGGGCUGACCGAGUGGACAUCGCACAGGCGCCAGGGGACAGAGGGGGCCGUCCUGUACCUGAGAUUGGGUGGAAGCAAAACAGCAGGCAGACACGCUCUCACAGACCUCACACCCCCAGGCAGACACGCUCUCACAGACCUCACACCAACAGGCAGACACGCUCUCACAGACCUCACACCAACAGGCAGACACGCUCUCACAGACUUCACACCAACAGGCAGACACGCUCUCACACUUCACACCAACAGGCAGACAUGCUCUCACAGACCUCACACCAACAGGCAGACACGCUCUCACAGACUUCACACCACCAGGCAGACACGUUCUCACACUUCACACCAACAGGCAGACACACUCUCACACUUCACACCAACAGGAAGACACGCCCUCACAGGCUUCACACCCCCAGGCAGACACGCUCUCACAGACUUCACACCGCCAGGCAGACACGCUCUCACACUUCACACCCCCAGGCAGACACACUCUCACACUUCACACCCCCAGGCAGACACGCUCUCACAGACCUCACACCAACAGGCAGACACGCUCUCACACUUCACACCCCCAGGCAGACACGCUCUCACACUUCACACCCCCAGGCAGACAUGCUCUCACACUUCACACCAACAGGCAGACACGCUCUCACAGGCUUCACACCCCCAGGCAGACAUGCUCUCACACUUAACACCCCCAGGCAGACACGCUCUCAGACUUCACACUGCCAGGAAGACACGCUCUCACACUUCACACCAACAGGCAGACACACUCUCACACUUCACACCCCCAGGCAGACACGCUCUCAGACUUCACACCGCCAGGCAGACACGCUCUCAUACUUCACACCGCCAGGCAGACACGCUCUCAGACGUCACACGGCGGAGACGGGUAUUUCCGUCCUUGCGCCCCCAGCGCUCAGCAUGAGGCAGAUGCUCCAAUGUUCACUAAAUGUCUACACAUCUGAGACCAUGAACAACAAGGCAGAGGUGACAGGGCUGGAGACUGGUGAACGGGCAGAGGGCUCCUUGGCUUCCCUUCAGUAG